GAUGAACGCUGGCGGCGUGCUUAACACAUGCAAGUCGAACGAAGCACUUUAUUUGAUUUCCUUCGGGACUGAUUAUUUUGUGACUGAGUGGCGGACGGGUGAGUAACGCGUGGGUAACCUGCCUUGUACAGGGGGAUAACAGUUGGAAACGGCUGCUAAUACCGCAUAAGCGCACAGCAUCGCAUGAUGCAGUGUGAAAAACUCCGGUGGUAUAAGAUGGACCCGCGUUGGAUUAGCUAGUUGGUGAGGUAACGGCCCACCAAGGCGACGAUCCAUAGCCGACCUGAGAGGGUGACCGGCCACACUGGGACUGAGACACGGCCCAAACUCCUACGGGAGGCAGCAGUGGGGAAUAUUGCACAAUGGGCGAAAGCCUGAUGCAGCGACGCCGCGUGAGCGAAGAAGUAUUUCGGUAUGUAAAGCUCUAUCAGCAGGGAAGAUAAUGACGGUACCUGACUAAGAAGCACCGGCUAAAUACGUG
rnacentral:rRNA from 1 species